rnacentral:rRNA from 1 species
UGGAUUAGCGGCGGACGGGUGAGUAACACGUGGGUAACCUGCCUCAAAGAGGGGAAUAGCCUUCCGAAAGGAAGAUUAAUACCGCAUAAUAUGUUUUGGUCGCAUGACUGAAACAUCAAAGGAGCAAUCCGCUUUGAGAUGGACCCGCGGCGCAUUAGCUAGUUGGUGAGGUAACGGCUCACCAAGGCGACGAUGCGUAGCCGACCUGAGAAGGUGAUCGGCCACAUUGGAACUGAGACACGGUCCAGACUCCUACGGGAGGCAGCAGUGGGGAAUAUUGCGCAAUGGGGGAAACCCUGACGCAGCAACGCCGCGUGAAUGAUGAAGGCCUUCGGGUUGUAAAGUUCUGUCUUCUGGGACGAUAAUGACGGUACCAGAGGAGGAAGCCACGGCUAACUACGUGCCAGCAGCCGCGGUAAUACGUAGGUGGCAAGCGUUGUCCGGAUUUACUGGGCGUAAAGGAUGCGUAGGCGGACAUUUAAGUCAGAUGUGAAAUACCCGAGCUUAACUUGGGUGCUGCAUUUGAAACUGGGUGUCUAGAGUGCAGGAGAGGUAAGUGGAAUUCCUAGUGUAGCGGUGAAAUGCGUAGAGAUUAGGAAGAACACCAGUGGCGAAGGCGACUUACUGGACUGUAACUGACGCUGA